rnacentral:rRNA from 1 species
UGGGGGAUAUUGCGCAAUGGGGGAAACCCUGACGCAGCAACGCCGCGUGAAGGAAGAAGGUCUUCGGAUUGUAAACUUUUGUCUUGUGGGAAGAUAAUGACGGUACCACAGGAGGAAGCUCCGGCUAACUACGUGCCAGCAGCCGCGGUAAUACGUAGGGAGCAAGCGUUGUCCGGAUUUACUGGGUGUAAAGGGUGCGUAGGCGGCCUUUCAAGUCAGAUGUGAAAACCCGGGGCUUAACCCCGGGCCUGCAUUUGAAACUGUAGGGCUUGAGUGAUGGAGAGGUAAGCGGAAUUCCUAGUGUAGCGGUGAAAUGCGUAGAUAUUAGGAGGAACACCAGUGGCGAAGGCGGCUUACUGGACAUUAACUGACGCUGAGGCACGAAAGCGUGGGGAGCAAACAGG